GACGAACGCUGGCGGCGUGCCUAACACAUGCAAGUUGAGCGACGAACCAGGGCUUGCCCUGGGGCAAAGCAGCGAACGGGUGAGUAACACGUGGGUACCUACCCCGAUAACCGGGACAACCCGAGGAAACUCGGGCUAAUACCGGAUGUGCUCACUGGACUUCGGUUCAGUGCGUAAAGGAAGCUUCGGCCUCCGUAUCGGGAGGGGCCCGCGGCCCAUUAGUUUGUUGGUGAGGUAACGACUCACCAAGACCGCGAUGGGUAGCUGGUCUGAGAGGACGAUCAGCCACACUGGGACUGAGACACGGCCCAGACUCCUACGGGAGGCAGCAGUGGGGAAUCUUGCGCAAUGCGCGAAAGCGUGACGCAGCAACGCCGCGUGGGGGAAGAAGGCCUUCGGGUUGUAAACCCCUUUCAGGAGGGACGAAGGUUCGGCGGUGAAUAGCCGUCCGGACUGACGGUACCUCCACAAGAAGCCCCGGCUAACUACGUG
rnacentral:rRNA from 1 species